rnacentral:lncRNA from 1 species
GUUAAGAAUGCAUUCAAUUUAAAGCAUUUCCACUCAUUGGAUGAGGGUGCCGCUUAAGAAAUGAUUUUCUGAUAUAUAAUUCUUUAAAUUAUUAGGCCGAUAAGUACAAAAUUAAUACAAGAUUUUGUGUAAUACUCCAAAACUUGCCACUUAGUACCGGAAAAUUUUGAGGUCUAUCGUCCUCUGUCGCCCCAUUCUCAAGAUAUUGAACUGUUUUUCAUUAUUUUUCCAGACACGUUUUUAGAUUAUUAUAGUGUAGCAUCAUAUUUACUGAAAUUUGUUGUCAAAAAGAUGUAUUUUAAAG